CGAAAGCCUGACGGAGCAAGACCGCGUGAGGGAGGAAGGCUCUUGGGUUGUAAACCUCUUUUCUCAGGGAAGAAGCUCUGACGGUACCUGAGGAGUCAGCCUCGGCUAACUCCGUGCCAGCAGCCGCGGUAAUACGGAGGAGGCAAGCGUUAUCCGGAAUUAUUGGGCGUAAAGCGUCCGCAGGUGGUCUGGCAAGUCUGCUGUCAAAGACCGGGGCUUAACUCCGGAAAGGCAGUGGAAACUGCGAGACUAGAGUGCGGUAGGGGUAGAGGGAAUUCCCGGUGUAGCGGUGAAAUGCGUAGAGAUCGGGAAGAACAUCGGUGGCGAAAGCGCUCUACUGGACGGCAACUGACACUCAGGGACGAAAGCUAGGGGAGCG
rnacentral:rRNA from 1 species